UACGGGGGGUGCGAGCGUUGUCCGGAAUCACUGGGCGUAAAGGGCGCGUAGGUGGUUUGAUAAGGGUGUGGUGAAAGCCCGGAGCUCAACUCCGGGUCUGCCGUGCCGACUGUCAAACUCGAGGGCUGUAGAGGCAGACGGAAUUCCGGGUGUAGCGGUGGAAUGCGUAGAGAUCCGGAGGAAGACCGGUGGCGAAGGCGGUCUGCUGGGCAGUUCUGACACUUGAUGCGCGACAGCGUGGGAGCAACAGGAGUAGAA
rnacentral:rRNA from 1 species